GUCUUUUUGAUAAAUAAUUUAAAGUCUAAUCUGCCCCCUGAAAUUAUUUUAAAGGGCUGCGGUAUUUUAACCGUACAAAGGUAGCAUAAUAAUUAGGUUUUUAAUUGAAAUCUAGAAUGAAUGAUUGGACGAGAUACAGGCUAUUUUAAAAUAUUAUAUAAAACUUAAUUUUUUAGUUAAAAAGCUAAAAUUUUAUUAAAAGACGAGAAGACCCUAUAAAUCUUUAUAAUUAAUUUAUUUUAAUUAAUUAUUUAAUUAAAAUUUAAUUUAAUUAAUUUAAUUAUUUUAUUGGGGUGAUAUAAAAAUUUUAAAAACUUUUUAUAAAAAUUUACUUUAAUUAAAGAUUUUAUAAUUUUGAUCUAUUAUUAAUAAUUUAAAGAAUAAGAUACUUUAGGGAUAACAGCGUAAUUUUAAUUUUAAGUUCAUAUUAAAAUUAAAGAUUGCGACCUCGAUGUUGGAUUAAAAUUUAAUUUAAAUGCAAAAGUUUAAAAAUUAAGUCUGUUCGACUUUUAAAAUUUU
rnacentral:rRNA from 1 species